UUAAGCGACUAAGCGUACACGGUGGAUGCCCUGGCAGUCAGAGGCGAUGAAGGACGUGCUAAUCUGCGAAAAGCGUCGGUAAGGUGAUAUGAACCGUUAUAACCGGCGAUGUCCGAAUGGGGAAACCCAGUGUGAUUCGUCACACUAUCGUUAACUGAAUACAUAGGUUAACGAGGCGAACCGGGGGAACUGAAACAUCUAAGUACCCCGAGGAAAAGAAAUCAACCGAGAUUCCCCCAGUAGCGGCGAGCGAACGGGGAGCAGCCCAGAGUCUGAAUCAGCUUGUGUGUUAGUGGAACGGUCUGGAAAGUCCGACGGUACAGGGUGAUAGUCCCGUACACCAAAAUGCACAGGCUGUGAACUCGAAGAGUAGGGCGGGACACGUGGUAUCCUGUCUGAAUAUGGGGGGACCAUCCUCCAAGGCUAAAUACUCCUGACUGACCGAUAGUGAACCAGUACCGUGAGGGAAAGGCGAAAAGAACCCCGGCGAGGGGAGUGAAAAAGAACCUGAAACCGUGUACGUACAAGCAGUGGGAGCACCUUUAUGGUGUGACUGCGUACCUUUUGUAUAAUGGGUCAGCGACUUAUAUUCUGUAGCAAGGUUAACCGUAUAGGGGAGCCGCAGGGAAACCGAGUCUUAACUGGGCGUUAAGUUGCAGGGUAUAGACCCGAAACCCGGUGAUCUAGCCAUGGGCAGGUUGAAGGUUGGGUAACACUAACUGGAGGACCGAACCGACUAAUGUUGAAAAAUUAGCGGAUGACUUGUGGCUGGGGGUGAAAGGCCAAUCAAACCGGGAGAUAGCUGGUUCUCCCCGAAAGCUAUUUAGGUAGCGCCUCGUGAACUCAUCUUCGGGGGUAGAGCACUGUUUCGGCUAGGGGGUCAUCCCGACUUACCAACCCGAUGCAAACUACGAAUACCGAAGAAUGUUAUCACGGGAGACACACGGCGGGUGCUAACGUCCGUCGUGAAGAGGGAAACAACCCAGACCGCCAGCUAAGGUCCCAAAGUCAUGGUUAAGUGGGAAACGAUGUGGGAAGGCACAGACAGCCAGGAUGUUGGCUUAGAAGCAGCCAUCAUUUAAAGAAAGCGUAAUAGCUCACUGGUCGAGUCGGCCUGCGCGGAAGAUGUAACGGGGCUAAACCAUGCACCGAAGCUGCGGCAGCGACACGAUGUGUUGUUGGGUAGGGGAGCGUUCUGUAAGCCUGCGAAGGUGACCUGUGAGGGUUGCUGGAGGUAUCAGAAGUGCGAAUGCUGACAUAAGUAACGAUAAAGCGGGUGAAAAGCCCGCUCGCCGGAAGACCAAGGGUUCCUGUCCAACGUUAAUCGGGGCAGGGUGAGUCGACCCCUAAGGCGAGGCCGAAAGGCGUAGUCGAUGGGAAACAGGUUAAUAUUCCUGUACUUGGUGUUACUGCGAAGGGGGGACGGAGAAGGCUAUGUUAGCCGGGCGACGGUUGUCCCGGUUUAAGCAUGUAGGCUGGUUAUCCAGGCAAAUCCGGAUAAUCAAGGCUGAGGUGUGAUGACGAGGCACUACGGUGCUGAAGUAACAAAUGCCCUGCUUCCAGGAAAAGCCUCUAAGCAUCAGGUAACACGAAAUCGUACCCCAAACCGACACAGGUGGUCAGGUAGAGAAUACCAAGGCGCUUGAGAGAACUCGGGUGAAGGAACUAGGCAAAAUGGUGCCGUAACUUCGGGAGAAGGCACGCUGGUGUGUAGGUGAAGCCCCUGCGGGUGGAGCUGAGACCAGUCGAAGAUACCAGCUGGCUGCAACUGUUUAUUAAAAACACAGCACUGUGCAAACACGAAAGUGGACGUAUACGGUGUGACGCCUGCCCGGUGCCGGAAGGUUAAUUGAUGGGGUUAUCCGUAAGGAGAAGCUCUUGAUCGAAGCCCCGGUAAACGGCGGCCGUAACUAUAACGGUCCUAAGGUAGCGAAAUUCCUUGUCGGGUAAGUUCCGACCUGCACGAAUGGCGUAAUGAUGGCCAGGCUGUCUCCACCCGAGACUCAGUGAAAUUGAACUCGCUGUGAAGAUGCAGUGUACCCGCGGCAAGACGGAAAGACCCCGUGAACCUUUACUAUAGCUUGACACUGAACAUUGAGCCUUGAUGUGUAGGAUAGGUGGGAGGCUUUGAAGCGUGGACGCCAGUCUGCGUGGAGCCAACCUUGAAAUACCACCCUUUAAUGUUUGAUGUUCUAACGUUGGCCCCUAAUCGGGGUUGCGGACAGUGUCUGGUGGGUAGUUUGACUGGGGCGGUCUCCUCCCAAAGCGUAACGGAGGAGCACGAAGGUUAGCUAAUCCUGGUCGGACAUCAGGAGGUUAGUGCAAUGGCAUAAGCUAGCUUGACUGCGAGCGUGACGGCGCGAGCAGGUGCGAAAGCAGGUCAUAGUGAUCCGGUGGUUCUGAAUGGAAGGGCCAUCGCUCAACGGAUAAAAGGUACUCCGGGGAUAACAGGCUGAUACCGCCCAAGAGUUCAUAUCGACGGCGGUGUUUGGCACCUCGAUGUCGGCUCAUCACAUCCUGGGGCUGAAGUAGGUCCCAAGGGUAUGGCUGUUCGCCAUUUAAAGUGGUACGCGAGCUGGGUUUAGAACGUCGUGAGACAGUUCGGUCCCUAUCUGCCGUGGGCGCUGGAGAAUUGAGGGGGGCUGCUCCUAGUACGAGAGGACCGGAGUGGACGCAUCACUGGUGUUCGGGUUGUCAUGCCAAUGGCACUGCCCGGUAGCUAAAUGCGGAAGAGAUAAGUGCUGAAAGCAUCUAAGCACGAAACUUGCCCCGAGAUGAGUUCUCCCUGAGACUUUAAGUCUCCUGAAGGAACGUUGAAGACGACGACGUUGAUAGGCCGGGUGUGUAAGCGCAGCGAUGCGUUGAGCUAACCGGUACUAAUGAACCGUGAGGCUUAACCUU
rnacentral:rRNA from 2 species